rnacentral:lncRNA from 1 species
CGUCGACAACUGAAAAGCCACAUAUAUUUUUCCUCUUCCAAACCGACGUGGUCUCAAGAACAGCGUGAUAGUCAAGAUGAAGGCUUUUACCUGCUUGGUUCUUCUGGUGUGCCUGGGUGUCGUCUUCGGAGACGCAGCCAUGGAAGAGUCUCCACGGCAAUUUGAUGCGAAAACUGACGAUCUUGAGUCCCGUCAAGCGUGUGAUCCGUGGAAUCCACAUAGUUGCCCUUACCCCCUUGUUUGCAACCAUCCUGGCUUCUGCGGUCGCCAGUAUGAUUAAACACGCCGUCUGCAUAAAGUGCGUCGAUGGCCGCCAAAAAAAACACGAUACCGAUGAGUCAGACGCUGAUAUGAAGCUUUGACCGACGGGAUUUAUUUGUUUCUCGUAGUGGGAUGCAUGUUAAUCUAUUAAUGGAACAAUUUCAGCUAUGUCCCUCAACAUUUCGGCUACAGAACAAAAUAAGAACUCUUAACUAAAAGAUUUUACUGGAUGUGAAAACUAGGUGUAUACUCUCAGCAGGACAUGAGUUCAAUUGAAUAAAAAGAAACACUAUAAGUUUCACAAUAAUAUCCGAAAUGCCGCUAAUGAAAAAUAUCCAGAAAAUAUACUCUUAUAGAUGAACAACAUCCGUAUUCCAAAAUUUGAACAUAAUUGUAUUAUUUGUCAAGAUUUCUUUAUUUCUGCUUUUAAUUUGAUGUAGUAAUACAAUGCAUGAACUCAGCAAUGAAUAAAAUUAUCGAAAGAUUUA